CGGCUGGUCCCUCGCAGCGAGAAACUGUGAACUCCGUCAGGCCUGGAAGGGAGCAGCGGCAGCAGCUACAUCGGGUGCCGAGGAUACGCUGGCCGAGU
rnacentral:SRP_RNA from 1 species